UGGAGAGUUUGAUCCUGGCUCAGAUUGAACGCUGGCGGCAGGCCUAACACAUGCAAGUCGAGCGGUAGCACAGGAGAGCUUGCUCUCUGGGUGACGAGCGGCGGACGGGUGAGUAAUGUCUGGGAAACUGCCUGAUGGAGGGGGAUAACUACUGGAAACGGUAGCUAAUACCGCAUGACCUCGCAAGAGCAAAGUGGGGGACCUUCGGGCCUCACGCCAUCGGAUGUGCCCAGAUGGGAUUAGCUAGUAGGUGGGGUAAUGGCUCACCUAGGCGACGAUCCCUAGCUGGUCUGAGAGGAUGACCAGCCACACUGGAACUGAGACACGGUCCAGACUCCUACGGGAGGCAGCAGUGGGGAAUAUUGCACAAUGGGCGCAAGCCUGAUGCAGCCAUGCCGCGUGUGUGAAGAAGGCCUUAGGGUUGUAAAGCACUUUCAGCGAGGAGGAAGGGUUCAGUGUUAAUAGCACUGARCAUUGACGUUACUCGCAGAAGAAGCACCGGCUAACUCCGUGCCAGCAGCCGCGGUA
rnacentral:rRNA from 2 species